rnacentral:rRNA from 1 species
UUCGGAUUGCAGGCUGCAACCCGCCUGCAUGAAGUCGGAAUCGCUAGUAAUCGCGAGUCAGCAUAUCGCGGUGAAUACGUUCCCGGGUCUUGUACACACCGCCCGUCACACCAUGGGAGUUGGCAACACCCGAAGUCGAUGAGCUAACCUUUUAGGAGGCAGUCGCCUAAGGUGGGGUUGAUAACUGGGGUGAAGUCGUAACAAGGUACC